UAGGGAAUAUUGCAAAAUGGGCGAAAGCCCGAUGCAGCAACGCCGCGUGGGCGAUGAAGGCCUUCGGGUCGUAAAGCCCUUUUUGAGGGGAUGAGGAAGGACAGUACCCUCAGAAUAAGCCUCGGCUAACUACGUGCCAGCAGCCGCGGUAAAACGUAGGAGGCGAGCGUUAUCCGGAUUUACUGGGCGUAAAGCGCGUGCAGGCGGAUUGGAGAGUUGGAUGUGAAAGCCCCCGGCUUAACUGGGAGAGGUCGUUCAAUACUUCCAGUCUUGAGUGCAGUAGAGGGAAGUGGAAUUCCGGGUGUAGUGGUGAAAUGCGUAGAUAUCCGGAGGAACACCAGUGGCGAAAGCGGCUUCCUGGACUGUAACUGACGCUCAGACGCGAAAGCUAGGGUAGCAAACG
rnacentral:rRNA from 1 species